UAAACAUCAAACUCCAAUUAUCCAUCAGCGUACUACGAAAUCAUCCACCACCCAGAAAUCGUGUAAAGGCAUUGUUGGUUGAUGGAACAACAUAUCUCUCAAGAUCAAGCUCGUGAGUCUCUCAUCGCCAUCAUCUCUUACACCUUAUCGGUGAAGCAAGAGCCUCUAACCACCUCAGAUGUGAAACCUGUCGUCACCAUAAGAAACUCGGAAGAUGCGGAAGAGCUCAGAUCAGAGCUGAUUUCCAUCUCCGACCACGACUCACCGGAUGAACCUAUUUCCUCGACACCACCGCCCAACAGUAUCUGUCGUGGAUAGUAGUAAAUGUACAGCACCAAGUCUUUGCUUUUGUUUGGUCUAAAAGUAGACCAUUAAUGUCACAUAUGUAAACGUCUCUCAUCAAUCAAUAUAUCUUCUUUGUGUGCUUA